CCUGACCUGGGUUGGAGGAAAAGUGUCUUCAGUAAUUCCCCAGGGGAUCCCUUGCGCCCUAGGUCUCCAGUGGAGUACCACAGGGCUCUGUACUUAGCCGUCGGCGGUGUGACGCACUGAUCAAGUGGCUUGGACGAGGAUGGCUGACGCAGUUCACAACCCUUGGGUGCAAAUAAUGGCUUUCACAAGGGGGCGGGGCUUAGAGGUCAUCAGUUCUAAAAAUGAUCUGGGGGUCCUAGUGGACCACAAGCUUAGAGCGUGUCCAAGGGACGGGACGGGACAAAGCGAGAAGGGGCCAAAGCCCCAGAAUCACUUUGGGCUGCGGUAGAUGAUUAAGAGGUGGACUCCACCUGCCCUGGAGGACUGAUGAAGAAUAGGGGUGUGUCUGGCCUGAAGAAAAGAAGGCUGGGGAAGGGAAAGGGGCAGCUGGACCAUAUUCAGGCCAUCUGAAAAUUUGAUCAGCAUGCCAUCAUUCAAGCACUGACGAGGUUUGUGUUGAGGAGAGCAUCCCGUGGCCUUCUGCUAGAACCUUCCUUCCAAGUGGACACACCACUGUUCUCUGGGUCUGACCAAUCAUUAAACCCCAAACGGACCUAAGCUAAGAGACAAGGCUAUGGCCAGGAGAGUGGGCAGGGGACAGGCCUCUAGCAGGUCCCCAGUGAUGACCGGCAUGGCUGCUCUGUGAGGACCAGGCCCCCCAUCUUCAAAGACCAUCAUGCUCAGACGUGGGACCACCAGAUGAUCCAAUGCUUAGGUCCAAGCAACUCACGAUGACCACCAAAGGCCAGAGUUCUGAAUCUGGGGUCCGUUU